rnacentral:lncRNA from 1 species
AGUAUAAGAAAUAGAUAAUUUGCAGAAAUAUGUAAUUCAUGGUGCUUUAGUCAACAUUUAAAUUUUCUGACUUUAAAAAUGACUUUAGGGAUGGGGUUGUAGCUCAGUGGUACAGCACUUGCCUAGCACAUGUGAAGCCCUGGGUUCGAUCCUCAGCACCACAUAAAAAUAAAUAAAAUAAAGGUAUAGUGUCCAUCUACAACUGAAAUUUUUCUUAAAAAAAAAAAAAAAAAAAAAGGUUCCCUAAAGUUUAGAAUUUGAUUCUAUUUCAAAGCUUUCACAAUUAAACUUUUCUUUAGGGAAGUGGAGUCAUGAGGUCAAGUGCUCACAUGAGAGUGACUGCACCCAUAAAAUAACCAAACCAGUUUGUGUGUUCAUCAUGGAUUAGUGUUAAUCUUUUUAAUUAAGAUUAAAUGAGGGGCUAGGGCUGUAGCUCAGUGGCAGAGUAUCUGCCUAGCAUGUGUGAGACUGGGCUCUAUCCUUAGCACUGCAUAAAGAUAAAAUAAAGGCAUUCUGUCCAUAUACAAGUAAAAAAAAUUUUUUUAAGAAGAUCAAAUGAUUUCCUUCUUGAUGGACUUAACAACUUAUCUCUAAAUUUACUACAAUAUCU